AUGUUCUUCAAGUUCCUGUUCCCGGAGGAAAAAAACACCUAGAGCAAAAAUGCCCAACAAAAUUGCAUUACGAAGUCACCCUUUGCAACGAAUCUGUCAGCAACAAUUAUCGCAGAACCUACAGCCAAGCAGAGCGGUCUUAUAUUCUCCAGGGUUCAGCAAUAUUACGUACAUGUAUCCAGGCUUUGCAGAUCACAGCCCGUUGGCCGAAUUACCUCGUAUGCCAAAACCUUCACCGCAUUCAAGAAGAAUCUUUCGUCUUACAUCACAAACACCGUAUAACUACACCUCUGGAGUUCAAACGAUGUAUCAAUAUGGAGCUAACCCAUACGAAAUCCCGGUCUUCGUUUAUACAGUUUCUUUUUGCGCAGGCAGUUUUAGCACUUUGUGCAUCAAGACGUAAAUCAAUCACUUCUAAUGGCCCAGAAUUUUUUUCAUCGAAGGAAGCAGUUUAGCUACUAAGUUUCGGUAAACCAGAGACAUAUGCAAUCUAUUUAAAUGAAG